GGGCCUGUGGCUCAGUGGUAGAGCGCUCCGUUUGCAUCGGAGAGGUCAGGGUUUCGAUCACCCUCAGGUCCA